rnacentral:lncRNA from 1 species
AUGCAUGUUGUGGAUGCUGCGAGCAUACACACGUGGAGGCGAGAGUGGGACAUGACAUGAUACGGUAGAGAGAAAACAUAAACAAUAGAGGGAAAAUAAAAAGAAGAAAUAGAAAAGGGGAAGAAAAAACUUGUUAUAAACUUGUUUGCUCUUUUUAAUAACUUGUACAUCUUUAUUAAGCUAUUUAUUGACUAGUGAAAGCUUUAUGUGAGAUUCUUAUAACUGAGAUAACUAGUGAACUGAAGCGCCCCAAUCCUCUAGGACUCAAAUGUGAUACAAUUACUAGUCCCAGGAGGCUAGUAAACACAUUUAUACAUCAGAUGAUUCUAGAUCUGCUUAAACGAGACAAACCUGUAAAGGUGACGAUCAACUUUAAGAGUUGGUCCACAACUCGGGACAUAUCAUCAGAGUGGGGCUGAAGCAGCCCGAUAUACGCAGCGAAGCAAAUUAGCGGCCCAACAACCACAGGCAAGGUUGGGAACAAGCGUAACUCUUACCCGAUCAGCGAUCUCCUUGUCUGAAAAACAACAAAUAAGCAAGGGUGAGUACUUACGUACUCAGUAGCCCACCUUCACCCACGGAAUGGGGAAAUCAGAUAUAAUGCAUGGAGUAUGUGGAGCUCAGGAUAUUUUACAGAAAGAGCAAUAUUUGAUGCAGAGUUCUUUUGUAAAAAAAAUCAUAUUUUUUAAAGUGCAUCCUCUCCCAAAGGAGCAGAAAGUUUUUCAAUAUAGAGCAAAAUCCCAUGGACUAAACCAUCCAGAUAUCUCAACAUAUUCCCACUGGUUUUCAUUUUCAAAAACAGCUACUGGAUUUCCCGUCCACCAUAGCUCACGGCUCAACCGCCGGACCUUUUAAACCACUUUUCAAAAGCAUUUUUGGAAAACAAAACACUAAUCGUCAAAUCCAUGCCAUGACUCAUCCAUAUCCGUGGACGUGGACUAUUCAAAUAGGUUUUCAAACUCUGCGCAGAGGUGUACACUUCACCCACUAGUCCGGUUUCUUCAAUCUCACCAUCGUGAGAUUCGAAUGCCGAAACUCUCUCCUUCCUUGCACGUCCUUACCUUAGCGAUUAUACCGGAAGGAACAAGGCCACCACCAUGUCCAAACCGGACAAAACAUUCCCCUUCUUUAUCGGAGUGCUCCCCAGCCGUCAUAAUCCUGGGGUUCGGACCGUGCAAGUUCAGAUCAAGCGACUGCCCAUACAUUCUCGAGUGGUUGCACUUGAUAAGAGUAUAGGUAAAGAGUGAUGACAAACCGAUCCUUAGGCGAGAGGGACAAUCCUUCGUGCUCACACCUAACCUGGCUGAGCCAUCACCUUAGGCCCUCCCCUAAACCAGGGAGUCCCUGAUCAUCCCGCUCAAAUGUGAUAAGGGUGACAACCCUUCAUCAUACCCAUCUUGAAAAACAUUUUCUUUUAAAACUCACACCUUUUCUCAAAUCAUUUGUAACAAAUAUGUCCAGGAGUAUAAAGAUUGAUUGCGGCAAAGUUCUAAGGCUGGGUGGCCAUAAUAACUUGUCUCUUAGUAGCAAAAUCAUAUCAUGCAUAAAAUAAUAGGCUGAGGGUUGUGGUUGAAAAAGUAUAGGUAAUUUAUGCAUCAAAGGGAUCCAGUGAGCUUGCCGUGCUUUAACCGGUGAAAGGGGUGAGAGAUCGCGGGGACUAGGUUGUUUGGAACCGAACCUCGGUAAAAUAAAUCACCGUGUCUACUCGCUUUGAUUCUCGCUUGAUUUGUUUGACCUCUUUCCUCUCUCUAACGUUUCCUUGCUAGUAUUGAUUUGAGUUUGCUCCCAUACGUCAUCCGCAUUCUUUGAGCAACUCCUAGCAAGAGAAAUAGUUGAAAGUCUCCUAGAGGGGGGUGGAUAGGCGGAAUCUGAAAAUUAUAAACUUAAGCACACACUACAAGCCGGGGUUAGCGUUAGAACGAAUAUUAAGUCCGGGAGAGAGGGGAAAACAAAUCAACCAAGAGAUAAUGCAGAUGAACAUGAUGAUUUGUUUUACCGAGCUUCGGUUCUAAAGAACCUAGUCCCCGUUGAGGUGGUCACAAAGAACGGGUCUCUUUCAACUCUUUCCCUCUCUCAAACAGUCACCUAGACUGAGUGAGCUUUCUUCCUUGAUUUCUCGGGUCACUUAGACCCUGCAAGGACCACCACACGAUUGGUGUCUCUUGCUUUGUUUACAAGGCUUUGAGAAUAAGAAUGAGAGAAAGAAGAAAGCCAACCAAGCAACAAGAACAACAAAGAAACACAAGAACGAUCCUUUCACAAGUCCACAAACAAAUUAAAGCAACUCAAACUCGUUGACAACACCCAAGGCACAUAUCUAAUACAAAUAGAACCAUACCUAAAGUGCAUCUUCAAGGUUACUACACAUGAGCAGAUAACAACAAGAGACACAACAACCAGUGCAUGAAGGAAAACCAACGCACCUGGACGAUUAGUCUUCGAUUGCAGGCUUGGAGCAGUGUCAGCCUUAAGAUGGCAAGAUGCUCCAUGGCCAGCUGGCCCUAGAGCAGUGCCACGACAGCUAACAGGAUAGGGAGGCAGGGCCUGAGAGGCUGUUGCUGCGAGCUUGCCAACCUUGAGAGUUAUACAGGAUCUGCUGAGGGCUUUGGAGCAGGAGGAGUAGGGCAGCAAGCGUUGGUAUUUGCCGUGGGCUCGCCGAAGGAGCAGGAGAUCGUGGUUGCAGGUUGGAGGCUUUGAGCUCGGAGCGCAGGUGGCGCCGACUUGCCGGAGGAGGCCCGCCGCCACAGGAACGCCGGAGUCAAAAGAGCCGUCACACUAGGGUUGGUCGUGGUCGUGAUCGUGUCAGUCGUUUGGAUUUGGAU